rnacentral:tRNA from 1 species
GGGGUCCUGGAGGAUCGGGACGCCCCGCCGGCCCAUGUCGCCGGAAAAGACGACGGUCUUCCAGGAGUCGUGCCGGUCGCGGUAGCGGAUCUCCGC